rnacentral:lncRNA from 1 species
CCUAUUUCUGUUGUAUAUCAAGUUGUAUCACACUGUAUACAUCAUGUAUAUAUACCCUUUAAUUUCGCUCCAAACACCUGCAAAUCUCAAUUUUCAGCCUUGUAAUAAUUCCAAAAUGCCCUGUUCCUCGAUUUCAAAGGUUGGCCGACUCAAAAGGAAAGAGUUUGAGUCUUUACGGCUCUCUCAAAAUGCAAAGGGAUAAUAAUAGGAGUUCUUGGUGAACUCGGGCAGAUUUCACA